rnacentral:tRNA from 1 species
GCGAGAAUGGCGGAAUUGGCAGACGCGCUAGGUUCAGGGCCUAGUGUUCGAAAGGACAUGGGGGUUCAAGUCCCCCUUCUCGCA